AAAGAACAGGACAUGUCAGGCGUUAGCAAUCCACCGCAAGAGGAAGACAAGAAGCCGAACGAUCAAUCGGCUUACAUCAACCUCAAAGUCAAAGGCCAGUGGGUUUGUUUUUGUUUUGAGAAAUAGAGUACAAAGACCCAUAUCAACAUCAAGUUCGUCUCUUUGCUUGUUAACUUGAAAAAGAUGAAAGAGAUAAACGGUAACGGUAGAAGAGAUGAUGAAUUGAAGGGUUUGAUCUGGAAGCUUCCUCAAAUUAAGCUCAAGGACCUCGCUAAAAUGGGUUCUGCUUUCUGCGUUGGCACUGGUUGCAGCAUUGGUCUUGUUGGAGAUUCGGCAUCGUUAUUUGAUUGUAAGAACAAAUUAUGAUCAUAUAAACAAAUGUCAAUAUAAUUAGGCCCGCCGUCAUAGGAGCGAUUACUACUUUCAGUAGAAGAGGAAGUUUCAACGUUUUUCUAGACUUGGAGUUCGUCAUACACCUUGUUGGUCAACAUUGCCUGUAUCUUCCCCUGCAUUGAUGGCUUCAAGUAGUGUUGGAUCAAACGAGCAAAAUCCACUGGCACAACAAUUCUUCCACAAGGGACUUCCUGACAAGGAGCUGUAUGAAGUCAUAUUUGAGAAGCAAACUGCCAUAGGCAGAUAUGCGUACACAUCUACGUCUCAACCGGUGGAGAACGUCACUUCUUCCAAUCAAAGAUAGGUUGACAUUGAGGAUAGUGACUUCGAACCUGAUCCGGAUCGGACGACAGGGGAAAAACGGCCAAACACAUCUGGUCAUGGAAGAUCGAGAAAUAGGAGGAAGAGAAGCGACCCAGGACUGACACUUGUGGAUGUCGUUGACAGAUUGACAAACGUGCUUGUGGAGAGCAAGAGUAUGGGAUCAAGGGCCAGCAAUCGCAGUGGAGCUGAGGGGGACGAGGAGAACACCGGUGCUCUAUCUGAUCUUUUUUCCAUGAGCCAUUGUAUUGACAUCUUGGCGGCUAUGCAAGUACCCACAGAGUUUUACAUGCCGGUUGUCAAGUACUUAUAUCAAAAUCCAGGGUGGCGGGAGGUAUUCGUAAAACUCCCAUCCGAGGAAAAGGCUAAUUGGAUUUAUAACGACUUUCGUAAUUUGUAGAUGGCCUUGUAUGUCCUAAUUGUUUGCCCACAGUUUUGUAUGUGCUAGUGGACACUUAUUUUUUCAUGGCUAAACCAAACUUUUGUCCUCAAAUAUCUGCUACUGUAUGAACUUAUUCAUUGUACUAUUAUUUUAUGUGAGAUAACAUGUUUCAUAUGAGUUUGGGAUUGUAAUUAGAAUUAAAAAUUUACUGUUAUAUUUUGUUAAGUACUACACUAUUAAAUGUUGAUCAAUGUU